AUUGAACGCUGGCGGCAUGCUUUGCACAUGCAAGUCGAACGGCAGCACGGGAGCUUGCUCCUGGUGGCGAGUGGCGAACGGGUGAGUAAUGCAUCGGAACGUACCCAGUAGUGGGGGAUAGCCCGGCGAAAGCCGGAUUAAUACCGCAUAUUUCCUGAGGGAGAAAGCGGGGGACCUUCGGGCCUCGCGCUACUGGAGCGGCUGAUGUCGGAUUAGCUAGUUGGUGAGGUAACGGCACCCCAAGACAGCGAUAGAUAGGGGCCCUGAGAGGGGGAUCCCCCACACUGGUACUGAGACACGGACCAGACUCCUACGGGAGGCAGCAGUGAGGAAUAUUGGACAAUGGGCGAGAGCCUGAUCCAGCCAUGCCGCGUGCAGGAAGACGGCCCUAUGGGUUGUAAACUGCUUUUGUACGGGAAGAAACACCCCCUCGUGAGGGGGCUUGACGGUACCGUAAGAAUAAGGAUCGGCUAACUCCGUGCCAGCAGCCGCGGUAAUGUG
rnacentral:rRNA from 1 species